rnacentral:rRNA from 1 species
GACAGAGGGUGCAAACGUUAUCCGGAGUUACUGGGCGUAAAUGGCGUGUAGGUGGUUUCGUAAGUCUGGCGUGAAAUUUUUCGGCUUAACCGGGAAAGGUCGUCGGAUACUGCGGAGCUAGAGGACGGUAGAGGCGUGUGGAAUUCCGGGUGUAGUGGUGAAAUGCGUAGAGAUCCGGAGGAACACCAGUGGCGAAGGCGACACGCUGGGCCGUACCUGACACUGAUGCGCGACAGCAUGGGGAGCAAACAGG